GGAGAAUGGAAAGUACUCAAUCAGGAAUGACCUGUUUAGUUAGGGGCUUUAAGCAUGGGAAUCCUGCUGCCAGAAACCAAUAAUGGUUCUUCACUACACAAAACCCUCCUUGUAGGUAAUUGCAACUAUUGAAUUUCCUUACUUGGAAAGGGACAAGAGUUAUAUUUUACAUCUGCACACAAAUAGUAUUUUUUAAGGAUAUUGGAAUCCCAUAUAGUUCUCCUGUGUUUCAGCACGGGGAACCUCCAUCCCAUUCCUGCAGUUGUAACAAGACUGGUUGUCAGACCAACACCAGUAAAGAAUGACCAGGCAAUACUCUUUGAAAAUUGGAGACCAUUUGCAGCUGCUCUCUGCUGAGGAAAGUGAAUAAUAGGGUGCCCUCAAGGAAUUUCAAAGAGAACAACAGGAUGAGAUGACAGCUUUUCUCAUGGCCCUGUUAAUAGUUUUUGCUAACAAGGAAAGGGGAAGGGAAUAAUUCUUUGCAAUAAUAUUGACUUCUUCUGUGAUCUCGGAACAUCUAAAGACUGAAGACAAUGACCUGAAAUGAACCUGUGUAUGAAAAAGAACACAGUGAUGGAGAUUUCUCUAAGUGCAUCAUGUUUUCUUGGCCACAAUAACCCAGAUGAGCUAAUGGAGCUGGAAUGAGAAGAAGAGAGGUUUUUCUGAUGGUGAUGAAGGCAUCAAAGUCUGCUCCAAGGCUACCUCCCUUUCAGGGCUCUAAUGCAACUCACCAUUGAAUGAAAAUAAUUUCAGGAACAAUUAGACAAAAGAAGCAAGAGUGAACAAGUUGAAUGUGAAAUCAGUGCUGCUGUAGAGUAUAAAGAACCAAUGACUGAAUAAAUCUACUUUGAAACACACCCUGGUAAUUUACAAUUCUAUCAAACAAUCUGCCAUCUUCUCAUUUUGAAUUACUGGCAUUUAUGAUGACUCCACCAUGUGUUUUUCCUUCCGAUUUUAACUCCUCUUUUAAAAACACAAGUUUGUGUCUGCCCAGACAAGUAUGAACAUUCUCAGCAUGGAAUAUGCAAUGAAGAAUUAAUUGUUUGGUGGUUGGUUGUUUUUUCUACCCCGUGAAAAGUUUUGCCAUCCCAGCAAUAUCUUCUACAGUUUUCUAACAGUGUGCUUUCAGCCCUAUGAUUUUCAUGUACCAUUUCUUUUUAUUCAGUGGUUGUGCCACUUUCAGUAGUGCUGGAUGAAUGCUUCAGAAAGCUGUCUGCAAAUAUUCACUCCAACUUUUAAAUAAACUAAUUUCAACUGUGUUCAUACAUAUUUCAUGUGCACUUUAUCUGAUCAUCCUAAUGAAUGAUUUGUUGGCAGGAAUGUUUGUCCAAAUGACAGAUUUUAAGGAAGUAAUUCAGGUAAUUUGCAAAAAAGUGAAAUCUGCAUUUCUGAUAAUAAGGAGCAGUUUUAUAAACCAUAACUACACUCAGAAUUAAUCUGCUACUAUAAAGAAACGUGAAAUAUGAGCUAAAUCUCAAUUAAAUCAGUUCUAAUUUAGAGCAGCUAGUAUUUGCCAUGAGCUAAUCUUGAGCAAAUGGCAGGCUAAGAAUGACUUUUAAAACAUCACAGUGUUUCAGACAGGUAGCACAUGAAAAAAAAAAUCAAAAUUCUAGUAGCUGAUAGUGCACAUGCAGGGUUGCAAUUCAUAAAAUAAAUCACCUGGAAACUGCUUGGCUGUUAAUUUUAUUUGUCGUACUUGGAUACUGAAUUUGGUACAGCAAAAUUCGGACUGUUUAUCACAGUAACAAAGUAACACAGUCUGCACUCUUCUCUGUAAGUUAGCAUUUGGAGAAAAGUUAAUUUAUAUGUUGCUUAGAAAAUAAUUAUGAGACCUAGGCUUACCCAUCAUAUAUUCCAGUUGAGCAACUUAGACUUUCUCCACAUUUAAUUUCAGUGGGAUCAUACCAAGUGAUGGCUGACUUAGUGAUGCUUCUGAACUAUUAUUGAGUAAAAUGGGCAAAAGGAUAUGAAAACUGUAUUAUUGCAGUGUCAUUGAAGGGUGUCACUGUAGUAAUUCUCAAAUUUUAGAGUAGAAUGUAUUAUCUCCAAGGUGAAGAACAAAAUUUCUUUCUUAAAGAACAAAAUAGGAGCCUUGUGAACAAGGAGACCAAGCCAAAAAUGAUUCCUGUAAUAGUUUGUGUUUCCUCAUUACUUCUUUCAAACUUGAAUACAGUGGUACAUUUGCAAAGUUGUAGUGAAGAAUACCCUUUGUGAUCUUUCUUCUUUAGUAGGAAAUGAAUCUGCAUUAUUAUACCUUUCUUUUCCUUUCUCUCCCUCCUUUUGCACUUUACAAAGAGAA